rnacentral:rRNA from 1 species
AUGAACGCUGGCAGCGUGGAUAAGGCAUGCAAGUCGAACGAUCUAUUUUUUGCUAUAGCAAUAUAAUGAGGAAUAGGUAGUGGCAAACGGGUUAGUAACGCGUAGGGAAUUUACCCAGAAGUGGGGAACAACUCGCCGAAAGGCGAGCUAAUACUCCAUGGUCAGUUACAUCUUCUGAUGUAACUGUAAAGAUUUAUCGCUUCUGGAAGAUCCUGCGUCCUAUCAGCUAGUUGGUGAGGGUAAUGGCUCACCAAGGCUAUGACGGGUAGGGGGGUGGUGAGAGCACGACCCCCAACAUUGGGGACUGAGACACUGCCCAGACACCUACGGGUGGCUGCAGUCGAGAAUCUUCGGCAAUGGGCGAAAGCCUGACCGAGCGACGCUGCGUGCAGGAAGAAGGCCUUCGGGUUGUAAACUGCUGUUCUUGGGAAGAAGAAAUUUGACGGUACUCAAGCAGAAAGGGGCGCCUAACUCUGUGCCAGCAGGCGCGGUAAUACAGAGGCCCCGAGCGUUAUCCGGAUUUAUUGGGCGUAAAGCGUCCGCAGGUGGAAUAGUGCGUUUGCUGUUAAAUGCUGGGGCUCAACCUCAGCGCUGCAGUGAAUACGGCUAUUCUCGAGGCAGGGAGAGGUAAGCGGAACUCAUAGUGAAGCCGGUGAAAUGCGUUGAUAUUAUGGGGAACACCAAUUGCGAAGGCAGCUUACUGGCCCUGUCCUGACACUCAUGGACGACAGCGUGGGGAGCGAAGCGGAUUAGAUACCCGCGUAGUCCACGCCGUAAACGAUGAUGACUAGGCAUUGGGAGUAUCGACCCUCUCAGUGUCGAAGCUAACGCGUUAAGUCAUCCGCCUGGGUAGUUACCGGCCGCAAGGCUAAAACUCAAAGGAAUAGACGGGGGCCCGCACAAGCGGUGGAGCGUGUGGUUUAAUUCGAUGGUAAGCGAGGAACCUUACCAGGGCUUGAAAUCUAGCUGCACACCUAUGGAAACAUGGGAGCCUCAAGGGUGCUAGACAGGUGCUGCAUGGUUGCCGUCAGCUCGUGUUGUGAAAUGUUCCCUUCAGUGGGGUAACGAGCGCAACCCUUGUCGUGUGUUACUUUUCACACGAGACUGCCGUGGUUAACACGGAGGAAGUGUGGGACGACGUCAAAUCAGCAUGGUCCUCUGACGCCCUGGGCUACACACGCGCUACAAUGGUUGGGACAACGAGUAUUACAAGCCACUGCGUAAGCAGGAGCUAAUCUUUCAAACCCAACCUCAGUUCGGAUUGGGGGCUGCAACUUGCCCCCAUGAAGCUGGAAUCGCUAGUAACCGCAGAUCAGCCACGCUGCGGUGAAUACGUUCUCGGGCUUGUACUCACCGCCCGUCAACUCAGGAGAGUUGACAAUACCCGAAGGCCCAGCGCCUUUCACGGAAAGCUUGCUUACGUGAAGUGCGCUG